rnacentral:rRNA from 1 species
CCUACGGGAGUCAGCAGUGGGGAAUAUUGGACAAUGGGGGGAACCCUGAUCCCGCGACGCCGCGUGAGUGAAGAAGUAUUUCGGUAUGUAAAGCUCUAUCAGCAGGGAAGAAAGAAAUGACGGUACCUGACUAAGAAGCCCCGGCUAACUACGUGCCAGCAGCCGCGGUAAUACGUAGGGGGCAAGCGUUAUCCGGAUUUACUGGGUGUAAAGGGAGCGUAGACGGUUACGCAAGUCUGGAGUGAAAGGCGGGGGCCCAACCCCGGGCCGGCUUUGGAAACUGUAUAACUGGAGUGCAGGAGAGGUAAGUGGAAUUCCUAGGGUAGCGGUGAAAUGCGUAGAUAUUAGGAGGAACACCAGUGGCGAAGGCGGCUUACUGGACUGUAACUGACGUUGAGGCUCGAAAGCGUGGGGAGCAAACAGGAUUAGAUACCCGGGUAGUC